AAGGAACUAGUCUAAUAUAAGACAACUAACUUCGACUUAGUUAAUCAUGACUAACUCUCAUGGUCCCCUA
rnacentral:tRNA from 1 species